CGACGUACCGUCUGGAACCUAACGUUUCCUUUCCGUUUUUUCGUGUUUUUUUUUUUUUUUUUUUUUUUUCUAUUUCGAUCCGUUUCGUCCCGCGCCCGCCCGCGGUAGUCGUAUCGCGCGCGUUCAACGAUCGUCAUAGUAAUAUGCGAAUAUUUAUGCGCAUGUCGUCGAACGAAUCAUCCGAUAUCGGAUUCGGUGCCGUCCGCCGUGAAAUAACCGUACACCGUUGCAUCAUAACAAUACGAAACGUUUUCGGUGAAACGGAAAUUUUUAAAAAAAAUUAUCGGUUGUGGAUUUUUUUUUUUUUGAUUUUUUAAGCCACUCAUCAGGUUGUUCGCGCGUUAAACUCGAUCCGGCCGGGUCGGUUCGCGCGUACCAGCUCCGCGCGUUUUACGUACCCACGUAGGUAAUAUAUUUACGGGCGACACGACAAAUGGCACGAUUGAAUCGUCGGUCUCGCGGAGUGGACGGCCUGAAUCGCAUUCGUAAAGGCAAACUAAUGUUGAUCGAACUAAACGAUGUGGCCCCCUUGUGGCCCAUUACCUCGCCCACCUCCCCGGACCGUUUGACGGCCACUGCCUUCGGCGAUAAAAACCCGCCACCGUCCCGUCGCGUUUUCUCGCGCGAAAUUUCCGACAGUCUUAUUCGACGGCGUGAACAAUGAACAGUACGACGACCGCACGCGACGUCAUCGUUUACAUUCGUGUUACGGUUAUUGACGGACGUCAACGUUUCACGAUAGAAAUCGGACACGAUUCGCGAAUACGACGGAAGGCGUUGGUGCCCGUUUUAUUUUUUUCCCAUUUUUCCACGCACGUACGGCGACCGCGUUGUCGCGCACCGUAAAACUGUUACACAGGGGCUGCAGUCGGACCGAUUUUUCUAGGACUGUCAACGUUUAAUUGUUGUUGUUUUUUUUUUUUUUUUUUUUUAUCAUUGUUUUUUUCAAAUAUGAUUUACUUUUGGGGCGGGACAUCUAAAAAUUGCAUUUUCAUUUCCAUCCCCCACAAACCAAUUCACUUUACAGCGUUUCCAGAAUAGGCGGUGGAUUUCGUAAAGGCGUAUAAUGUUCUAAUCAUUUUAUUGUAUCAUACAUUUAUAUCCGAUCAAUAGACCAUAACUCAAUAAAUAAAGUUAUUCUCUAUCGCGUUACGUAUUAUUCUCAUUUUUCACACCUUUCCUCUGGAAAUUAAUACGGCCGUUACCAAUAAGAAACUAUUGAUCAAAUAUGAAUGUAUGACUAAUUCAAACAAUAAUAUAUUUUACGAAACGCCAAUUUUGAAAUUUUGCGAUGUGAAUAAAUUAAGUUGGUUUUUUUUUUCUGAGUGAUAAAGCGAUGUAAAUAAAAAUGUAAUAUUUCUCAAAUAGAUGUUCGCCUUAAAGCAAAACAAAUUGAAAAAAAAAAACCAAAAAAAAAUUGUUAGCUCCAGAAAAAUCCGUCGAACAAGGGGGGGGGGAGCCUGUAUAUUAUUACUAUUAGUAUUCCGUUAGGAUUUUCGACUCCGCCGACUUUGUAAAAGCCAUAAAAAAGCGUACAAAACUUGUGUAAAUAAAUCUAUAUACGUCCAAACCGCGUGCAUCAUCGCGGUAUUGAUAAUUAUUUUUAAACAAAAACCAUACUCUCAAUCUUGUACAUAUUAUUACUAUUAUUACUAUUAUUUGUAUUCUUAAUAUUAUUAUUAUAAGUUAGCUUAAGAGUAUAUUUAUGUUAAAACGGUUUAUAUAAAUAUAGAAAUAAGCGUCCAGGACGAACGGAUCCGUCUGUUCUACACCAUCUAAGAAAAAAAAAAAAAUAAAAUAAAAAAACGAGCCAUCAUUGGUCAGCGUUUUUUUUUAUUUUGAUAAGUCAGGGGCAAAUUCUAAAAUUCUUCCCCGGACCGGCAUUAUAGAAUUAGAUUUUCGGAAAGCACCAGAAGGGCGAAAAUAAAGGCGUAUAAUCAAAUACUGUGCAUAUUCGGCUAAACAAAUUAUCCGAAAUUAUUAUUACUCGAUAGUCUGUUGUGUCGACUCUCGGUAAUUCCAAGUUGUUUGACUUUUCGCCGCGUUUUCGAACAUUUUCGAGACUUUAAAAUUCUGUUGAUUAGAUUUUGUAUUAACUUAUUUUAUUUUUUCGUAUUCCUCUUGAUCGAAAUUGGAAGUGUCCGUCUUCCUUCUUCGUGUCCAAAGUUUCUACGGUUACCGCACCGAAUAAAAAUAUACAAAAACAAUUACGAUAUUUUAACAAUGGCUUUAUGAAGUUUGGAGACUCUGGAUGUGUGUCGACCGGUAUCUAAUGGAUUCCCGCGGUCUUUUCGUUCACGGGAGAAACGCUUUAGGGUUUUCGGCUCGAUCGACUCACACGAUUCGUUCAUCUUCCCGCGCAACCAAUGAAAUAUCGUGAUUUUCAAAAUCCACGGACCGUUUAAAACAAGGGUUCCUAAAAUGAAGGACGUGCUUCCCUAGCGUGACAAAAUUUCAGGAAAGGCGUACAAAUUUUUCAAAACCUCAAGAAACAUAUACACAUUUAUAUAUAUAUAUAUAUAUAUAUAUAUGUACUCCAACGUUAUGGUGGCGGGAUGGAGACGAGAUCGUAUGCAAUACUUUGAAAGGGGGAGCCUGGAUCCCUAAAGGUUUAAAAUCCUUAGUUUAGAUUACUGAUAUGUGAUAUCAAUUUAAACGCGAUAAUACGGUACAUGAUACAGUGUAUUAGGAAACGGGGCAUUUAUAGUUUUUUUUUUUCGGCCCGUUCGGGUCAACGUUUAUUGUAUCGACGUAAACGUCAAUCUGAAACGUCGUCAUUUCCGGUAACCCGGAAAAAUGAACAAAAGGCCGAAAUUUCGCUGGGCGGGCUGGUUCAUUGACCCGAAACGCCCACCCCUUCGAACGGGGGAAAGGCAAAAAUAUCGCCGCUACUAUCGUGUACACACAUCACGACGUGUUUAUACAUUGUCCACCAUACGAAAUACGUACUAUACGCACAAAUGGGUCUCCAGAGUGUCUUUUAUCCGCCUUUUUUUUUCAUCAUCCCCUUUACCCCGUUGUAGUCUGGAUGCCGUUGCUCGCGGGAAGAAAUCCGCUUCGUAUAUUCGGCGAUCGAUACAAUAUUCCGCCGACCGUGACACGGUGACCGUCGAAAAUACUAAUAAUAAUCAACAAAUAACCGAAUAUUCUAUAGUUCUUUACCCAACCCCUUUUUCACAGACACCGCUGUUAAAAUUCACAUAUCCGUCGAGUUCUUUGAACGUCUAAAAAAGGUUUCUCAUCGAUUUCAAUUAGCCGACAAGUUUAUAAUAGAUAUUAUAUAACGGAUUGCAAAUAUUUUUUUACCGAGACACAAAAACACAAAAACAUUACGAACAUAAUGGAUUUGGUUUUUUUUUUUUUAUAAUACACUGGCAUAUCACCGACCUUUUUUUCGGACUGUUUUACUUGUAGUAUAAUAUCAACAAUUUUCCGUCUAAUAGUGAUCCGGCGUUCCGAAUUCCGUUUUCGGCGGUCUCUGGUAAAAAAUGUGUUUCAUUAUUUUUGUUGAAAAACCAUACAAAUUUAUGGACGGAACAUGAAACCCCGAUGACUGAGAGACGUGAUGGACGGCGGUCGUGUCCAACGGAUUAAAGGAAAUUGUCUCGGCAUAUAAGGCGUACGAGAAAACAGCAUAUUUACCCCGAGGACAGUCAAUAAACAAAUGUGUAUAUGAACCUAAUAUGAGGACUCGUAUUUGUUUAUUCUUCCGUCUAAUUUUCAGACCACUGCCACGAGUUGUCAUACUGAAUCCAGUGACGUAAUCAGAAAUUUUGAUCUUGGUAGGCAAAAGGGUACGAUAAUAAGAAAGAAUACGAUAAAAAGAAAAAAAUUAAAAUUUCGUUCAAUAGGGAUGUGGGCAUACGUCCCAUUAAUUCCCUCUCUGGCCAGGCCCGUCGUAAGGUAUUUUCCGCCUUAAAGCGAACAUUUUGAUGCCGGUCUUUUUUGACGAUUAUUAAUUUUUGCUGCUUCAAUUUUAUUAAAAUUGUAUGCCAUGCGCAUUCCACCUCUGGCCAUACACCACUGACCGAAUGUUCCAUCUAUACAGUUGUGUCAUAAAUAUGUCAUUUAUGGUAAAAACCGCUCGUUGUAUAUUAUCUCUACAUAAGUUGAAUUUCCGAAACUUUUUGAUAAAAAAAACAAUGAACCGAUUGCGUUUUAUCGUCAUCAAAAUUCAAAACUCUAAUGUAAACUUUAUCGUUCUCUUUUAACGACGAUUUUAUGAACUCGUUUUAAUUUCGUAGUGCUCACACACGUCCUGUUAUUAACACAAAUAAAACUAAAUAUUGAUUUUUUUUUUUUUUUUAUGUUUUUGGUACGAUCUAUGAUUUUUCGGUUUUAUAUUUUAAUUGUAUUGUAUUUAGAAAAUUAUUUUACGAACCUGUCCCAAUCGAACACCAAAGAUUGUUUGUAGGUAUACAUUUUUUUUAUCGUAUUUCAUUAAUUUGUUAAACAUCAACGAUGAUAUUUUAUCCACGCUGACACGAUGUUAGUGUAGGUUGUCUUUUCUGUAUACGUAGAAAAAACUGGGUAAAAUUUGUAUUUGUAUUUUUUUAUCUCUUCUCGUUUCCUCAAACGGGACUUUCCUAUAUAGUUUAUAAUAUAUAACUAUAAAACUACGCGUCAAUCCGCAUAACCGGAUAUCGACAUGACGUUCUGAUGUAAUACUUCCGCGUUAAUAUGCGUUUUUUUUUUUUUGUUACUUUUACAAUAUUUAUGUACUUAUUUGUAUAUUAUUUAUAUUUACUAUUAUUAUUACGAUUUUUAUCAUUUAUUAUUGACUGCGAUGUUUAUGUGUAUAAAAAUAACAUUUUUUUUUUUUUUUUUACUUCCUAAUUCCGUAAACAUUUCCUACAAAAAAUCGUCCGAGUUUUUCGACGUUUACCUAAAAGUAUUGCAGGUCGAUCCAUUUUCCGCGUCCAUACAACAAUAGACGGCAAAAAAAACUACACGGAAACUAUAAAAAUGGCCAAGUCCAAAACUUCAAAACCUUAUGUACACGGGUGAAUAACUUUACCGAAGUACAAUAAUAUAAUACCCAAAUAAACAUACAAGUAAUGAUUUUUUUUUUUUUUUUUAUUGACUUGUUAUUCGUUCUUUUGAACCGUCUCAGCCCACAAUCAAUUCUCGAGCGCUAUCUGCAUUCCGAAUCUAUCGCCAAAAUUAUCUAACUCGGUCCACUUCCCGUCAAUUUUUUAUCAGCUGAACAUUUUAUAAUACUUUUCCAAUAUUUGUAUACACGUAUUAAUUGAUAUUGUGAUGUAAAUGAUAAAAAUGUAUGAAACGUGAUAAUUCUCCGAAUCAUUAAGCUAUCGUCAAAAUAAUAUUAAGUCAAAACUAGAUGGACUGUACAAUAUUAGAUAAGUAUUAAGAGAAUGGUCAACUCACAUUAGCAGCCAUGUUUAGUGCAAAAUAUUAAUGAAGAAUGUGAAGAAUGAAUGUGUCUAACGUUCUAAGAGUAAAAAAUUGAAAAAUGAAUUAUUUUUUUUAUGUAUAGUCAAUGUGUUCGAGGCGCAAUAAUUCGGUGUGUGUUCAAGUGCCAAAACCGAUUUGUUUCUAGUACGAAAAUUAGUUCAUAGCUGGUCUGUUUCACGGGUUUUUCGACACACGUACGUUCCAAACAAAAAUUACAUUUUUCAACACUUAGAAUGUUUGACACAUUCGCUCUUUAAAUAUUUCAAAUUCAAAUUAUGUAUACCCGUUUAAAACUCUAAUAGAACAUAUAAAUCUCUAUUGUAUCGCGUGUAAGAAAUUUUGUUUUAUUUGUCUUUAACUCCCAUGGAAGAAGGGCUUAAUAAGUCCAUAUUCGGUAAUUUUUUUUUUAUUAUAAUAUAUUAUAUGUUAUAGUUUUGUCAAAUGUAAUUUUUUCUACUUUAUUUUUUGUAUCUUAGUUGUAUAAUUGUAUGAUUAUUUCAAAAUUAUUCUAAGUAGUGUAUUAGUUUAUGUACAAGUGUAUGUAAUUUCCAAAUUUAUUUUGCUUGUAUAGAAAACUAUACUAAGUUGACUUAAGCCUUUCUUCCCUGUGACCAGUGGCGUACCUAGGGGCAGGGCUGGAUUUUGACUUUCGGAUACCUGGGAAAAAUUUUUUUUUGAGACUCUUAGCAGUAAACGAAUUAAAAAUACCCAAUAUCUAAGUAUUUGAGGAAAAAAUAAAAAAAUUACAAACUUGCACGUUAUAACUAUCUAUCUGAAAAGCGUUAUUUCAAAUUUGAAAUACUGCUGUUUAUGUAUCAC